GCGUUGGUGGUAUAGUGGUGAGCAUAGCUGCCUUCCAAGCAGUUGACCAGGGUUCGAAUCCCGGCCAAUGCA
rnacentral:tRNA from 1 species